GUUUAGUAUUGAUUGUUAGUGGUGUGAUUGGGUGUGUUAUUAUUCUGAAUUACGGGGGAGAGUGUUUUCUCGUGUGAAUGAGGGUUUUAUGUUGUUAAUGUGGUGUCCUGUAAGUAGGAGAGUGAUAUUUGAUCAGGAGAAUGUGGUUACUAGCACAGAGAGUUCUCCUAGUAGGUUAAUAGUGGGGGGUAAGGGGGUUGAGAAUGAGUGUGAGGGAUCAGGUAGUUAGUAUUAGGAGGGGGGGUUAUGAGAGUGGCUAUAAUGAAUAGUGAUAGUAUUAUUCCUUCUAGGCAUAGUAGGGAGGAUAUCAGGUGUGAGCGAUAUACUAGUAUUCCUAGAAGUGAGAUGGUAAAUUCUAGUAUAAUAUUUAUGUAAAUGAGAGGCAUUUGGUAAAUAUGAUUAUCAUAAUUUAAUGAGUCGAAAUCAUUCGUUUUGUUUGAACUAUAUACCAAUUCGGCUCAGUCUAACCCUUUUUAUAAUCAUUCGUAGGCCAGACUUAGGGCUAGGAUGAUGAUUAAUAAGAGGGACGAUGUGACUAUUAGUGGUAAGUUAGUUGUUUGUAGGGCUCAUGGCAAGGGUAAAAGGAGUGAAGGGUAUUAAGAAUGACUUCCAGGCUGGGCGCGGUGGCUCACGCCUGUAAUCCUAGCACUUU
rnacentral:lncRNA from 1 species